AUGACGUCUUGCAUGUCCCUGGCAUUGACAGGCCACCUGUGGGUUGAUUGGGGUUUAAAGAGACUUCUCCAGUUGCAACAGAGGCCAACGCUAUUGUCUCUCCCCAAGCUACGAGGGUUUCCGUGCACUCAGGCUAGACUCAGGACCCAGCACCUUCCUAACUCUCCAAGAGCAGUGGCGUUUUACCCAGGGGAAGUUAGUGAGAAUGGAGAGGGGAGGAUGUUCAGGUUAAGUCCCUACACAUAUAACUCCCUGUAACCCAAACCCUUACCCUAUUCUUCGUGCUUUGCUUCCCACACUUCACUCCUUUUGGGGGAAGAAAUAGCAAGUAGGUAGGGUGUGCGUGAGAGGAGAUAGAAAUUGUGAAAAAGAAUCUCCAAGACAAAAGUCAGGUGGACCAAUAAGCAGAGCUCCACUGCCAAGUUAACUAAAGGUGAAGGAGGUGGAGGAGGAGUAAACGGGAACGGGAGCGGAAGGGAGCAGGAGAGCUCUCUCACUAUCAAGGUCACCUCCAUUCAAGAUAAAGAAGAACCACAGGUGAUGCUCCUAGGUCCGCAAUGCCCUUACAGAAUUAAGGUUUCAGGAGCCAGAUGAGGACGGCUGCAGAAGGCUAAGAUUGAAGGUCCUGGGUUACCUGCUCUGCUCGAUUCCUCUGGGCUCACACCACCUUUGUUAAUAAUUUACCAGGCGGUAAUAACUGAUUUUUGUGCCAUUCAAGAGGCUGAUAAUCUUCUCGGCUGAGAGAUCUUGCCUUUCUCUUCCCCGCCCCCACCUCCCACCCCCGCCCGCCAAGUCUUCUCAGGCGGCAAUUCCAGGAAAAAUCAACCCCUUGCUGACAAUAACCUUGCUCCCGGCGUGUUCCGGUAGAGUGUUUCAGCACCAGAAUUCAGGACAGCUCCCCGGGAACGCGUAACUGAAAGGAAUUCCCGCCCCUUUGCCUCACUGCCAACUGAUUCCCCCUAGCUCCCGGGGCUAAUUGUCUUCGUCUUUACCUGACUGUGGGGUUCUGUAGGUGAGAAGACAAGCAGAGAAGGGCAGGGUGUCUCCUGUCAUUCUCUAGGGUUAUCUUCAGAGUCAGCCUUCCCUACUUAUAUCCCCAACUUGGAACAGGAUAUGAAUUUGGACUGAGUUGCAAACAAAAAUUUAACUGGAAACAAUGGAAGGAGUUGAGGAGGAAAGAGUGAGAGAAGGUCUGAAGAAGUCCCCAAUUAUGUUAAAGAUGAACUAGGGAAAAAAUGAGUUUGAUUUCUCUGGAAAAUAUCCCUGUCGCCAUCCUAUGCACCUCUUUCUCUCUUGUGCCUACUGUAAAGCAUUUGAAAUCUUUCACCCUCUCCCUCAACCUACAUUUUCCUUAAUGACCCCUGUGGGUGAGAGCUGGGAGCAGAGCUGGGAGAUGAGCUGUUAUUGUAGGAUGUGGGAAUGGACUCUGGAGAGCUCUGGAGAAGAGUGAGAAUAAUAUAGGACUAAUUUAGAAAAAGGCAGAGAAAGUUGUCUCCCACAAACCAAUGGAGACUGGAAAGUCCACUUCUAUUCCAAUACAGGUAAGAAAUUUUAAAAUUUUGUCUCUGAGAUGUUAAGAUAAUAUUAGUUUUAACCUAAUUUUGAAAUAAAUGAUUGAGGUUAGUCUUAACUGUAUAUUUGUUAUGUUAUGGUCAUCCUUUGGGGAUGGGAGAGAUCAUACAACUUUAUACAAGUGAAAUCUUUUAAAAAGGAAUAUCAAGUUAAACCUUAAUUAUUGGAACUUAGAGGACAAAGAGUAGAAAUAGUAGAUCACUGAAAGAAAGAAGGCAUCAAAAUUGAGAUAUCAGAACCAGAGUGGUGUAUAUGAAAGGGAGAAAGAAAUUGUUACCUAGCAACCAGCUUAUCUCUUGUUGCCUUGGUCAAGGUGGGUGGGGUCACUUGAAAAAAGGAUGUUUUAGGUCUUUUUUUGUAGUGGCUUGUAGAAGGUAUUUCCAUCUCUAAAAGGUUAUUCCCCUGAGGCAUAUCUGAUCUCUACAGCAGAUGAUGGACCCUUGACCCUCCCCCCCCUCCAAAAGAAGCAUCACACCUAUUUGCAGUACCUCAAGCUGUGAGGUUAGGGAUAAGGUUAAGUAAUCUAUAGAAAGGAAAAAUUUAGAGAGGUUGCUUCCCUUUGAUGGUUUUGCUAUAGUGUGCUUUACUUAGAGCCAAUCUACCAGACCCUGGGAAGUAUAAUACUCCCUUUAGGACAAAAGAGAGAAGAAAAAGAAAGCCAUUUCCCCCUCUAUCAAGCAUAUAGGGAGGUGGAUAUAAUGUAUAGAAAAGAUAGUGAGAAAAUAUAUUCUUUUAGAAUUAUACAUUUUAAAGCUGGAAGAUGGAUUAGAGGCCUAAUCCAGCCCACUUUAUUUUACUGCUGAGAGGAGAAUUGUGGUGACUUGGCCAAGGUUCCACAGUUUUGAAAUUAUUUCUUCCUCCCCCCUUAAGUAUAUUUGGGCUCUACUCCAUCACCAAAAGUCAAUUCCUCUGGCCAUUUUCAAUUAGGAAAAAACCUAUAGAACUAAAGAAUUAUAUUACCAAUGGGGCAGGGCAAGCUUUUUUUGUGUAAUGUAAGCAAAAUUUGAAAAUUGCUACUUUUGACCUUCAUACACUAUAAACCUUUGAUGUAUCCUUGAUAAUUCAGUAACUGAAUAAAGCUCAGAAUUUUAGGUAAUAAGGAUCCUACAUCUCUCAUAAGAAAGGACUAUGAACAUACUUGGAGGUAGCAAUAUAUAAUGGAAAGGGCAUUGGAUUUAAAAUUCAGAAAACUUGUGUUUGAAUUCUGGCUCACUCUAAUACCCUUAACCUUAAAUUGUUUAACCUUCAUAGGUUUCAUUUUUCUUCAUAUAAAAAUAAAGAAUUGGGCUAGAUAGCUUUUAAAGUCCUUUUCAACUAUAAAUAUUUGAUCCUACAAAAAUUUUCUCCCUUUACUUUCAUUUAUUUUACCCAUCUUCCUUUAUCUUAACACAAUUAAAAAUAAACUCCCUGUCUGAUUCAAUUCUAAAUUCAAUGUUAAAAAUUUUCCCUGUUAGUUGACAAUAUUAGUAAAAGAACACUUAUAACGAAAGAAUCCUUUAGCUCCAUAAUUGUAUAAAGGCUAUCAGUUACUUUUAAGAAGAAGGGGUUAACUCUCAGUUUCCUGUCUCCUGUAUCUGUUUUAGUUCUCAGCCAGGAAAGAUUGGCAUAGCCUAUCUUAGUAAGGAUUAAUGAAACUUUUUCUGAUGGCAUAAAUAUUGCUACAUAGAAACAUUAACUUAGGGGUUUUUCCCUUUCAAUCUUCAUUUGUUUUUAUGAGCAAAAGAUCUAGUUUUCUUUCAAAGAAAAAACACUAUAAUUUCACUGGCUUAAUAAGGAGAAGUAUCCAAUUACAGAUUGUUCUGUUCUGCCUUCUCAACCAAUCAGAGAAUGCCAUUUAUCUUUCUCUUACUAGAGGAGUGAAAAGAGCACCCUAAAACUAUCAAAUAUGGCCUAAUCUUGUAUAUCUAAAGAAUGAUCUAAGCUUUGAGAUCUAGGAUGUGAGACUUUGAUUUAGCUAAUACAGAUUACAUUGACUUUGUAUGUACUCUUUUGUUAUAUCCUUUUUUCUAGUUUAAAAACUUGGCAGUUCCCUUAGUAUGUUUUUAUUCAUUUUAUGAACCACUUAAAAAUAUUUACUGAGCUUUAACUAUGUGUGAUAUAUUUAAAUUGUGUGCAUGAUUUGUAAAUUUUCCAUUAACAGUUAACUUUUUGGAAAAGAUAUUACAAAAAAGUGAGAUGUUUAUCAUUAACAAUAAAAAAGUUUUCCAUAGGGUAAAGAGAACCAGUCUUGAAAUUAGAAAAACCUGAAUUUGAGUCCAGCCUCUGAUAUGGAUUGACUGUAUAACUAUGAAUAAUCACUUAUUUUCACUGGAAGCCCCAGUGAAAUUACGGUCUGGCCAGGGAAUAAAAAAUAAACAAAACUAAUGAUAUGUUUUGAAAAAUGAAAGGGUACAGUUUUUAUCUUCCUAAAAACCUCUCGAGGACUUUCAUAAUCUAAAUGAUAAGAUAGGCAUGAAGUCUAAACUUCCUUCUUCAGGAUGAGUAAAAGUUCCUUCUACUGCUCCUACUGGAAAGGUAAAAAUCAAGG
ensembl:lncRNA